GGCAAUUGCUGAUUUAACAUAACUUAAUUAGGAAGGAAAUGUGAUUAUAAUGAGAUUACAAUUCCUAAUUAAUUUCAGUUAAUUAAUUCAGUGUACCCUGAUUAACAUUGUGUGUGUGUGUGUGUGUGUGUGUGUGUGUGUGUGUGUGGUUAGCUACUCUCUACUGACUGCAA